rnacentral:rRNA from 1 species
UACGAAGGGGGCUAGCGUUGUUCGGAAUUACUGGGCGUAAAGCGCACGUAGGCGGAUUUGUUAGUCAGGGGUGAAAUCCCGGGGCUCAACCUCGGAACUGCCUUUGAUACUGCAAAUCUCGAGUCCGGAAGAGGUGAGUGGAAUUCCUAGUGUAGAGGUGAAAUUCGUAGAUAUUAGGAAGAACACCAGUGGCGAAGGAGGCUCACUGGUCCGGUACUGACGCUGAGGUGCGGAAGCGUGGGGAGCAAACAGG